CAGCAGGAAACAUGAAAAUGGGACAAAUGCUAAUGGCGAAAAGUAAAGAGGCACAUUCCUGUUGGAGAGUUUAACCUGGACUGUGGUGAAUUUCUCAACAGUGUGAAUGCAACCAGCUAAGACGUUUAAAGUACUGAAACAGAAGACAGACUGGCAUAAAUUUCCCUUCAAUACUCGUUCCACCUCAGGACCAAUAAAUGAGAGACAGGUGGAGGGAGAGGAAACAGGAAAGGAGUUUGAGACUGAACAGAUAUGUAGGUCACAGAAGAAAUAAGCACAAACCAGCCUGAAUUUGUGAGAUACUGAGGCUAAUCUUACCCAGCAUUGGGAAGCAGACAUAAAUGGACAAGCAGCU